UACGGAGGGUGCAAGCGUUAUCCGGAUUCACUGGGUUUAAAGGGUGCGUAGGCGGAUAGGUAAGUCCGUGGUGAAAUCCUGCAGCUUAACUGCAGAACUGCCGUGGAUACUAUCUAUCUUGAAUAUCGUGGAGGUUAGCGGAAUAUGUCAUGUAGCGGUGAAAUGCUUAGAUAUGACAUAGAACACCCAUUGCGAAGGCAGCUAACUACGCGAUAAUUGACGCUGAGGCACGAAAGCGUGGGGAUCAAACAGG
rnacentral:rRNA from 1 species